CCUACGGGUGGCAGCAGUGGGGAAUAUUGGACAAUGGGGGGAACCCUGAUCCAGCCAUGCCGCGUGUGUGAAGAAGGCCCUCGGGUUGUAAAGCACUUUCAGUGAGGAAGAACGCCUGGUGGUUAAUACCCAUCAGGAAAGACAUCACUCACAGAAGAAGCACCGGCUAACUCCGUGCCAGCAGCCGCGGUAAUACGGAGGGGUGCGAGCGUUAAUCGGAAUUACUGGGCGUAAAGCGCGCGUAGGUGGCUUGAUAAGCCGGUUGUGAAAGCCCCGGGCUCAACCUGGGAACGGCAUCCGGAACUGUCAAGCUAGAGUGCAGGAGAGGAAGGUAGAAUUCCCGGUGUAGCGGUGAAAUGCGUAGAGAUCGGGAGGAAUACCAGUGGCGAAGGCGGCCUUCUGGACUGACACUGACACUGAGGUGCGAAAGCGUGGGUAGCAAACAGGAUUAGAUACCCUGGUAGUC
rnacentral:rRNA from 1 species